rnacentral:rRNA from 1 species
UACGUAGGUGGCAAGCGUUGUCCGGAUUUAUUGGGCGUAAAGCGCGCGCAGGCGGUCCUUUAAGUCUGAUGUGAAAUCUUGCGGCUCAACCGCAAGCGGUCAUUGGAAACUGGGGGACUUGAGUACAGAAGAGGAAAGCGGAAUUCCACGUGUAGCGGUGAAAUGCGUAGAGAUGUGGAGGAACACCAGUGGCGAAGGCGGCUCACUGGCCCGGUACUGACGCUGAGGUGCGAAAGCGUGGGGAGCAAACAGG